rnacentral:rRNA from 1 species
ACGAACGCUGGCGGCGUGCUUCACCCAUGCAAGUCGAACGGAAAGGCCCUGCUUUUGUGGGGUGCUCGAGUGGCGAACGGGUGAGUAACACAUGAGUAACCUGCCCUUGACUUUGGGAUAACUUCAGGAAACUGGGGCUAAUACCGGAUAGGAGCUCCUGCUGCAUGGUGGGGGUUGGAAAGUUUCGGCGGUUGGGGAUGGACUCGCGGCUUAUCAGCUUGUUGGUGGGGUAGUGGCUUACCAAGGCUUUGACGGGUAGCCGGCCUGAGAGGGUGACCGGCCACAUUGGGACUGAGAUACGGCCCAGACUCCUACGGGAGGCAGCAGUGGGGAAUAUUGCACAAUGGGCGGAAGCCUGAUGCAGCAACGCCGCGUGCGGGAUGACGGCCUUCGGGUUGUAAACCGCUUUCGCCUGUGACGAAGCGUGAGUGACGGUAAUGGGUAAAGAAGCACCGGCUAACUACGUG